AAUCAGAUUCUUUACAUUGAACGCUUCGGGUAAAUGAGUUCCACUGACGCUUCAUACUGUUAAUGGAGUUGAAAAAGCCCAGGUUCGAAGUAAGGGUGCUUUCAUUUAGAUCUCUAAGUUCUAAUUGGAUACGCGGUCGUCCUACUGACGAAAAGACUGCUCAGGUAUUAACAGUCGGUGAAACAAAGACUACAUCCAGGUCUUUAAUCGAUUCCAGUCUAGGCAGUACAACGCCGUCAAUGCAGCAGCGGUGCUCUUUACCGAGUGUCGAGGUGGGCCGGUACGUUUACUUUGAACAAAUUAGAGUGCUCAAAGCAGGCUAUGUUCGCCUGAAUACUGUGUGCAUGGAAUAAUGGAAUAGGACCUCGGUUCUAUUUUGUUGGUUUUCGGAACCCCGAGGUAAUGAUUAAUAGGGACAGAUGGGGGCAUUCGUAUUGCGACGUUAGAGGUGAAAUUCUUGGAUCGUCGCAAGACGGACAGAAGCGAAAGCAUUUGCCAAAAAUGUUUUCAUUAAUCAAGAACGAAAGUUAGAGGUUCGAAGGCGAUCAGAUACCGCCCUAGUUCUAACCAUAAACGAUGCCAGCUAGCGAUCCGCCGAAGUUCCUCCGAUGACUCGGCGGGCAGCUUCCGGGAAACCAAAGCUUUUGGGUUCCGGGGGAAGUAUGGUUGCAAAGCUGAAACUUAAAGGAAUUGACGGAAGGGCACCACCAGGAGUGGAGCCUGCGGCUUAAUUUGACUCAACACGGGAAACCUCACCAGGCCCGGACACCGGAAGGAUUGACAGAUUGAUAGCUCUUUCUUGAUUCGGUGGGUGGUGGUGCAUGGCCGUUCUUAGUUGGUGGAGCGAUUUGUCUGGUUAAUUCCGAUAACGAACGAGACUCUAGCCUGCUAAAUAGGCGUACCUUCAGGUAUCUCGAAGGCCCCCGGCUNUAUAUAUAUAUAUAUAUAUAUAUACACACACACACACACACACACACACACUCACUUUUUUUUAUCAUUUUUAGCAGUUAUUUUAUCUUACUGUUGGCUUCUAAAAAAGUUAAUUAAUGAUUGCUGUUCUUGUCCAAGUAUUUUCUUAUACAAUACCUCAA
rnacentral:rRNA from 1 species